rnacentral:rRNA from 1 species
CAGUAGCCGCGGUAAUACGAGGGGUGCAAGCGUUACCCGGAAUUACUGGGCGUAAAGCGUGCGUAGGCGGUGGUUUAAGUCCGUUGUGAAAGCCCUGGGCUCAACCUGGGAAUUGCAGUGGAUACUGGAUCACUAGAGUGUGGUAGAGGAUAGUGGAAUUUCCGGUGUAGCAGUGAAAUGCGUAGAGAUCGGAAGGAACAUCUGUGGCGAAGGCGACUAUCUGGGCCAACACUGACACUGAGGCACGAAAGCGUGGGGAGCAAACAGGAUUAGAUACCCCAGUAGUCCCUGUCUCUUAUAC